CCCGUUAAAUCAUCAUGGCAUUUCCGUUAAUUUCGUUUAAUUAUAAAUGUAUUUUCGUCCAAAAAAUUAUAGGUAGGUAAACAAUGCAUAACAACCAUGAGUGUCCACUGCCACAAUAAACCUACUAAUCUGGUAAGCACUACUCGUAACUGAAAUCGCUCUGCCUGGUCGAACGUCGGUUGCGUUGGGGUCGAACCGGGUCUGGCUCGAUCGGAAAGUCUUUCUCCUGGUCGGUGUCUGGUUGGGAUGUUGGGUCGAGUUGCAGGUCAAGCUGGAGUUGGGCGGUAGCUGCUAGCUGGUCCACAACGAUUGUUACAUCCCCUUCCCCUAUCGCACGAACCUUGUCAUCAAGGUUCGCGUUUGGGUUGAGAUGACAUACACAAGUGAGAUUUUCCUAAGCCCGUUCUGCUUAUGAUCUAUCCCCCCAAUCGACCAGUACCUGCUCUAUCUUCCUGCCUUUGAUUGUCACGAUACGAUAUCCUAUGAUGCUGUGCGGAGUGCUUAUAGGAUGGGCAUCAAUAGCCUGUUCAGGAAGCGAAACCUUGACGCACUUCUCAAUUUCCCCAACGAAUGGUUUCAGUAAUGAGAUGUGAAAUAUCGGAAAUAUUGAAUUGUUUUCCGGCAGAGUUAACUUAUACGCCACCACGGUGAUUUUUCUCUCUAUCUGAAAAGGCCCAAAGUAUCGUUUGCUUAGCUUUUGGCAAACCCGGUAAUUGACCGAGCUCUGCCGGUAUGGUUGUAGCUUCAACCAUACCCAAUCUUUUUCAUGGAACUCAAAUUGCUUUCGGUAGAGGUCGGCAUUUCUCUUCAUACGAUUCCGUGCCCCUUGUAAAUGAAUCUGCAGAUCGGCGAUGAUAGCCUUUCGCCUUGUUAAUUCUGUCCACCGCUUCUAUUUUAGAAUCCCCAGCCGAAUACAGAGUCACACGAGGGGGAGCACAUCCAUAAACGAUUUCAAAGGGUGACAAGCCUGCACUGUGGUGGAACGCGGUAUUAUACCAUAGUUCCACCCAUGGAAGAAGCUCUACCCAUGACCUCGGGUUGUCGUGAACUGUUGCUCUUAGAUAGACCUCGAUGGUCUUGUUUGUAAUCUCGGUCUGACCAUCCGUUUGGGGGUGGUACUCGACAUCCGUAAGGUUGUCCCGCUUUGUGCGAAUAUUUUUUUCCAAAAACGGCUAAGGAAUAUUUUGUCCCGAUCGAAUAUUAUCUUUGUUGGAACCCCAUGUAAUCGAAUGAUCUGUUUGGUGAAAAAAUCAGCCACCGUGGUUGUCGAAUAGUUAGCUGGCAGGGCUCCGAGAUGGCAAUAUUUGGAUAGCCGGUCGACCACUACAAUUAUAACUGACUGACCCUUGACGAGAGGUAACCCGGUAACAAAAUCCAAGCUGAUUUCUUCCCAUAUAGCCGUGGGAAUCUCCAGUGGUUGCAAUAAACCUAAUGGCUUGGUUGGUGGUAGCUUAACCUGUUGUCAUAUCAAGCAUCCCGAAACAAAAUCUUUGACAAAUCGUAUCAUACCUUUCCAGUGGAACUGUUGGCGUACCCGGUAGAGGGUUCGAUAAAAUCCGGCAUGGCCCCCGAUUCGAGAGUCGUGGUAUUCUUUUAAAAUUAAUUCUCGCAGCUCCGAACUAGGUCCGAUGCAAUAACGAUGUUGAAACAUCACAAAUCCCUUCGUUAGUGAACCCAACGGGUGCAGUUUGGUCACUAAUUUGGUGAUGCAUUGAUUUCAGCCACUCAUCAGACUCGUUUUCUUUUUUCAAUUGCUCUAUCCAUCCGGGUAACGGCUAGCAGGCUAGUGUCAAAAGGUGCUCAGAACUUAUACUGUCCUCCUUGGCCGACAAUCGUGAUAGUGCGUCGGACGUGAUAUUUUCUUUUCCCUUCUUACAUAUUAUCGAGUAAGAGUAUCCCAGGAGUUUUGCUAAAAAAUACUGCUGCUCCAGAGUUUGUAUUACCUGAGCCAACAGAUUUUUAAACUGUGGUGAUCCGUUCGGAUUACGAAUGUGUUUCCUAGGAGGUAAUGCCUCCACUUGCGCACGGCGUUCAUGAUUUCCCACAGCUCCUUGGAGUAUGUGGAUGCCUUCUGUCGCAAUGGGGGCAACUUUUUACUAUAAAAGGGCACGGGAUGCUCUUCUUAUAGUAGGAUUACACCUACCCCGACAUCGCAUGCGUCGGUCUCAAUCGUGAACGGUUUCUGGAAAUUCGGAUAGAUCAGAACCGGGGCGAUUAAUAAAAUCUCCUUUAAGUUAUGAAAUGCUUGGGACGCUUCCUCCGUCCAAUUGAAUUUCUGUUUCCGUAGUAAAUUUGUUAUCGGAGCUGCUACUUGGGCAAACUUUCGAUAAUAACCGGUGAAUCCCAAGAAUGCUCUAACCUGCCAAACGGUCGUCGGAAUCGGCCAAGAUUUGACCCCCUCCACUUUGUCGGGGUCUGGCCGGACUCCUGCCGUGGUGAUGAUAUGCCCAAGGUAACUCAGUUCGGCCAUCCCGAAACAACACUUGCUUCGCUGUACAAAAAAUGAUUGUGAUUCCAGCAGUAUUGACACCUCUCGUAAGUGUCCGAUGUGUUCCUCCUCCGAUCGGCUGUAAAUUAAUAUAUCGUUGAAGAAGACGACCACAAAUUUCCGUAAGAAUGCUGCCAGCAGUUGGUUCAUUGUGGCUUAAAAAGUCGCCAGAGCGUUAGUAAGCCCGAAUGGCAUCACGGUGAACUCGUAAUGUCCGUGAUGGGUUCGGAAUGUGGAUUUCUUGAUAUCUUCCUCCGCGAUCCUAAUUUGAUGAUACCCCGCACGAAGAUCCAACUUGGAGAAUAUUUUGGCUCUGUGAAGCUCGUCGAUGAGCUCGUCCAUCGUCGGAAUUGGAAACCGAUCGCCUAUCGUCACGACGUUGAGGGCCCGGUAAUCUACGCAAAAACGCUACGAACCAUCCUUCUUCCUCACUAAUAGGACCGGUGACGAAAAUGGGUUUGUGCUUGACCGCACUAGUCCUUGUUGAACCAUUUCCGCGGUGAGUCUUUCAAUUUCGUUCUUCUGAAAGUGCGGAUACCGGUAGGGUUGAUGUUAACCGGUUGGGCCCCCGGUAUUAAUUCUAUGUAGUGAUCAGUCGGCCGACCUGGAGGAAGUCCCACCGGUUCUCUAAAAAUCGCGGCAAAUUGAUCCAGCACUUCCUCAAUUUCUGUUUGCACUCCACCCGAUGGUUCCGGUGUCUAGCACCUCAAGUGGCAAAAAUAGGCUACCUCCUGUCUGGCAAUUAAUCGGCGCAGCUCUCCGCCUGAGAUUUCAGACUUUACCAAGCGGGGCACCCCCUGAAAUUUCACCAUUUUCCCCUCAUUUUCGAACUGCAAUGUCAGUUUCUUGUAGUCCGUUAUUACCGGUCCUAAGGUCUCGAGCCACUGCACCCCAAGAACCAAGUUGGCCCCUUCCAUUGUGACCACAUAUAAGUCAUGUUUCAUUGUUACUUCAUUAAUUCGAAUGGCCACUUGUGGGCAUACUUCACAGCAUACCAAGAAAUCGCUGCUGCCUAUAAAGACCCAGAAUUCCGGCAGUGUUCGGACGGCAACGCCGAGCUUGUAGGCCACCGAUCUUUGUAUGAAAUUAUGUGUGCUGCCACUGUCGAUCAGAAUGGACAGCUGCUGGCCCUCGAUUGAUUUGGCGAGUCGAAUAGUCCGGGGAUUAAACGAGCCCGAGAGGGCGUGCAUACUUAUCUCGAUCUCUUCUCCGGCCACUUCAGUUUUGGUUUCUUCUUCCGAUGAUUCCAGAAAUUCGACCAAACAAUUAUUCUCCGCACAUAGUUGGAAUAGCUUCCCCUGACACUUGUGGCCUGGUUUGUACUGCUUGUCGCAUUUAAAACAUAGCCCCUUUGCCGUCCAUUCUCUCCUUUCCUCCACCGUUAAGGUUCGCCGGAUAAUUGGUACUGUCGUGCCUCCUGCUGGAGUUUUUAAUAAUGGUUCCGAUUUAUUUAUUGAUACUCCUCCAGUUUUAUAUGCUUUGUACCCUUUGUUCGCUUCAUGCACCUUUGCUACUGCUAAAGCUUUUUUUAACGAUGUUGGCCGGUCAACUUUUAGAUGGUUUUUUAUUUCCUGUUUCAAGCCCCCAAUAAAGAACGAUAUCAGUGUCUCCUCGGAUUGGCCGAAUACUUCAUUCAACAAUUUUUCGAAUCUGGCCAUAUAUUCCGCAACCGUAGAUAUUUGCUGCAAUCGGGAGAGCUCCUUCAAUUUGUCAUCGAAUGCGGAAGGUCUGAAUCUCUCCUGGAGAUCCUCCACGAAUUUUUCCCAUUAGGUCAAUAACCCAUUCCUCUUCAUUCCACGGAUCCAACUCAACGCCUCUUUCGACAUGUAGAAGUCGGCGAUCUGAAGCCGCGCGUUCUUCGUGAUGCCGUGGUUCUCGAAGUAGGCUUCCGCCUGGUAGACCCAACCCUGCGGAUCCUCCCCUGAAAAUCGGGCCAGAUCUAGCUUGAUCGAGCGCUCGGAUCGUGAACUUCCUUCCCCCUCCCCGCGUGCUGAUUGCAGGUCCUUUACGAUCUUCCGUAAUUCUACCAAUUCAUCAGACAUACAAGAUAUUACAUGGUAUUGCCGUUUGGUCACCGCCGUCAACCUUGCGUUCUGUUCGCCUACCAUGGCCACCAGCGACCCGUGCAUCUCCUCCUGUUCAUCUCUUGCGUUCCUUUCCAUUGACAAAAUAGACAAUUAGAAACAAGGAGUUACAGUUUGGCAGAAAUUUUAAUUUCACCGUCGUCCCUUGUUGAGACCCAAAUCAAGGCUUGGGACACGCCUUAGAUGAUUGAAUGUUUAGAGUCGUUUCCGACUGAUUUCCGCUACCGAUUUCCUUGAGCUCGCGUGGAUGAAAGCACCAAUGUGACAACGUCGCCGGAGGAGGACGACGGUCAGAUAGUCAAUAGAACCAGAGUCUUCAUUAGACGGAGCCGGAGGGAGGAAGAGGCAGAUUAUUUCCCGAAGGAACAGGAGGUGGAAGGAAUUGAAUCGAGUUCUAGCAAAUUGGAUAUCUAGUAUCCCGUAUCAUCAUCCAUUAUAUAAUAACAACGCAUAACAACCAUGAGUGUCCACUACCACAAUAAACCCACUAAUCUGGUAAGCACUACUCGUAACUGAAAUCGCUCUGCCUGGUCGAGCGUCGAUUGCGUUGGGGUCGAGCCGGGUCUGGUUCGAUCGGAAAGUCUUUCUCCUGGUCGGUGUCUGGUUGGGACGUUGGGUCGGUGUCUGGUUGGGAUGUUGGGUCGAGUUGCAGGUCGAGCUAGAGUUGGGCGGUAGCUGCUAGCUGGUCCACAACGAUUGUUAC
rnacentral:lncRNA from 1 species